rnacentral:lncRNA from 1 species
UAAAAGAGUUCACAAAGAGCAAAAGACAGAAGGGAAUCUGAAGAAUAUAUAGAAAAUUAAGAAUGAGUUCAACAAGCAGAGCAUGGAUGGUAGCAGCAAGUGUUGCAGCAGUUGAGGCCAUGAAAGAUCAAGGGUUCUGUAGAUGGAACUACACGCUCAGAUCAUUACACCAACAUGCCAAGAACAGUAUAAGAUCAUCAGUUUCUCAAUCAUCAAAGAAGCUUUCCUCUUCUUCUUCUUCAUCUUCUGCUGCAGUGGUUUCAAGCAAAUUGAUGAGAGACCCCAAGGCCAAGCAAUCAGAGGAGUCUUUGAGGACAGUCAUGUACUUGAGCUGCUGGGGUCCUAAUUGACUGGUCCCCAUUCCCCAACUUGGUUUGGUGCGAAGAGAUCAUUUUGAUUUGUAUAUUGUAAAUAUUGCUCUAUAUAUCACAUACUAAUUCGAAAAAUCUUUUGAACAAAUUUUGUCCUUUUUGCUGUGGUUGAUGCUUGUUUAAGAUUUCAUCAAUCUCUGCCUCCAUAUAAUCUUACACUGGAGUACUAAAGCAAACAACAAGAUUAAGCUAAAGACUUCAAUUAUAAUGAUUUUACCUUUUAAUUUUUUAUAUCAUUUUUAUUUAUUAAUACUUUUAUGGGUUUUUUAUUUUUUUCCCUUUUGGGAGAAGGUCUGAAGGAUUUCUUACUUACGAUCUAUUGAACACAAACAGUCUAUUGGCUAUUGAUUACAUUUCUAAACCAGCUAGACCCGUUGUUUAAUGAGUCAAAUCAAAGCUUAAGAACCUUUCUAUGUUCAUCUGUUAGUCCUAUAAAGAGUGAAAAUUCACAGAGAAAAUACGAAGAACCAUCAAGAUAUAUUAUAAAUAUAAACUAUAUUUGCAGCAGAGCAAACCAAGAAAUAAUAAUGCAUGACCAUGGUAGGUGUCGUAGAAAAUAUAAAAAAUCAUAAUAGAGAGCAUAUUGAGAGAGUAUGCUCCCAAGAAUGAGGAGCAAGAAUGAAGAGAAAAGAGUCAUGUUCGUUAUGGUAGGUGUCGUAGAAAAUAUAGAAAAUCAUAAUAGAGAGCAUAUUGAGAGAGUAUGCUCCCAAGAAUGAGGAGCAAGAAUGAAGAGCAAGAGUCAUGCUCUUUAAGGAGUAGAAACCAUGCUCUUAUGUUUAUUAGGGAGUAGGAACCAUGCUCCUCCCUAAGAACAGGGAGCAAAAUGAUGGUUUCUAAUAAUAGGGGAUAGUAAAAUAAGUCAUAGACCCUAACUCAUAGGAGGUUCUUGACCUAAAUUUAAAUCAUGGACUGCAUAGAAAAGGUUAAGUUUAAAUAAAAGGGGCUAUAGUUGAAUAAAUCCAGUCAAAUAAAAGUCAAUAAUGAAGAAUAUUAUUUGGACCAGAAGCAAGUUAGUUAAAGUUUGACACAGGUAGGAUCAAUGAAAAGAUAAGGAAUAUCUUAUAAUUCAAAUCCUAAAAAAUAAAGGAGAGUUAAGGUGAAUUUGAGCGAGAAAGGGAUUUUAUUUGCAGAGGACUAUAAAAAUAAAUGUCUCUCUUAAUAUGAGGGGAGGCACUGAAAAAGUAGCGAAGAGAGGCCGAACUGAAUUGUAAUUGCGAUUUUAAUAAAAGAUUUAUUUGUUCGCCCUGUGGACGUAAGUUAAAGGCCGAACCAUGUUAAUUCUCUGUGUUUUUUUUAUCAUAUUUAUAGUUGUACCAAAUGACUCUUAAAAAAUGAGCAUACGGUCCCUGUAUAGCUGUACCGUAGCAAACAGUAGACGGCUCCUCGAAUAUGAGCAAACGGACUUUACUGGUAGAUGCUUGGUCAUAACACUUUACACCCCAAACAGCUUGUAAUGUAGGAUAUCAAAACGCUAAUUUUCUUUUUAUACCGACCAAGAUAUAUUUCACGAUUUGAUCAGUUAUUUCAGCAGUCCCAUUUGAUUUAUUUAUCAUAUAUCAUUUAUGUAGAAGGCUUUCUUAUAGUAAGUCUUUCCUAUGCUUUCCAAGUAGAAUGGUGAUACUGUUUAUUUGUGUGUUCUUGCUUGCUGUAAAAUGUUGAGAGAUUUGCUAAGUUCUAAUAAGUUUUUAUUUAUUUAUUAUUUAUUAUUUAUUGAUAAUACUAAGUUUAGAUUCUUAGUGUGUGUGUAUUGAAUUUUUUAAAUUGGAAAGAGACAGUUCAAGGGGAUCAUAUUGCUUAAUUUCAAGAGAAAGCUUUAGUUACAAAAGGUGAGUUUAUGGGUACUUCGAUGGAAGAAGAAAAAUUUAUGUAGCGGAAUAAUAAUGAUCACAUGCAAUGACUUCAUACAAAUCCAGUACUAAUUAACCAAAAUUCAUUUGGUUAAUUAAUGUUGGAUUUAUUUUUUUUCUUAUGUAUUUAGGAUAUUUAGUAAUAAGAGUAGGAUGAGAUAGUUUUAUUAAGGCAUUUGGGAUGUGGGAUGUGUGAUGUGUAAUGUGUAAUAGUUGGGUUUAAUUUAGAGUAUUCAAAUGAUAAGAAUAGUUGUUUAUUUUAUACUACUAAUGCUACAAGUAAAUAUCAGUGCGUAGAAUUGAAGCGUAACUGAAGCAUAUAAAAUUAAGAUUGAACCAUAAAUCAAGAUUGAAGCAUACAAAUCCAGAUUGAAGCCUUUCAGUAUCAAAAUUAAAGCCUAAACAUCUGAAACAAAAAAUUUGAGAGAUUUUGAAGCCCUUAAAGAUUUUAAAUUUAACGAAGUUAAAAUUUGAAGCCCUUGAUAUUUUUGGGGAAAAUUAUGGGAAAUUUACAAAAAUAAUCAUAAAACUUUUGUUAUUUUCACAAUUAACCUUCUCAACUUUUUACUAUCAACAUUAGCCAAACACACGCUUUUCUCCCCAAAUUACCCUUCUUUACAAACCAAAAGCAACUUUCUUUUUCCCCUUUCGUCAAACCAAAUGCAGCUUUCCACUCUUGAAUCAUCAACCAACGGCGACGGCAAAAGGCAACUAUAAAAGUGAAAUCCGAUCAUAAUUUAUCCGGAUCCAACACUAAUCGGCAUCACAUAGUGGUAUGAGUUAUUUUCUGAACUUGCUCAAGAGUUUCAGUGAAUUUGGCGUGGAUGAAUCUGGCGACAGGCACCUUGUUGCACGAAGAGACAGAUUCAUUGCAACUGACUAUUAAUUUGAUAGGGCUCAAAUAAUUAAUUUUUUUUAUAAUUUCAGGCUUAAUGGAUUCAGUUGUACUUGAAUUGUGUUACGAUGGUUGGUGAGAGACAUUAGAGGAUGGCCGUAUGGAGUAUGUGAAUGGUAAAAAUAGAGCUUUUUUGGUUGGAAAAAAUUGUCUGUUUGAUCAGUUAUUGACAAUAGUAUACAAGGUGUUACAAAUAAACCCUAAUGAAUAUAGUAUCACAAUGAAGACAACUUUGAGGUCUAGUAACACAUUAUAUCGCCCAUGAAUAUAUUUGAUGAUGAAAUGGUGAGGGUUGUGUUGCAUAUGGCAUCCAAUGUAGCCAAUUUUGGAUGCAUUCCUAUAUUCGUGACCACAUCACCUCGAGUUCCGAGCGAAGGUAUUGAGCCACAUGUCGAUACAGAAACUUCGUUUAGAGCAAAUAUAUAUGGCCCCGAUAAUGAAGAAGAGGUGUUGCCAAGGAUAAUAUCGCUGCAGCAAUAUUACUCUACAAUCCAUAGCAAUUAUGACAACAUUGAUGAUAACGGCAUUACGUUACAUGAUGUUGGAGCAACGGUAUUUCCAAUAACGACGUCGUUGGAGCAACGGUAUUCUCCGUAUCACAACAAUGAUUUUCGGGAUAAUGAUGAUCUUCAUGUUGAGACAGAGGAGGAUAAUGUUUAUGCAGAACCUUCUACUAGUAUGAGAGGCACUCAUUUCAAUAAUGAUGGUGAUGAUAGAGGAGCCGGUCCUUCGAAUAUUUCGUCGUUUCAGCAUGAGGAUAAGUGUGAAGACAAUACUCCUGUGAAUAACAGAGGCAAUGGACCUAUUCCUCUUAUGGUUCGAUCAAGAAAGAGAAUUGACCCCCUCACAAGUCUUGCUCCAACUUUGCCUUUGAACAUGGUUGCUCCAACCUUUGUUAGCAGUUGUGACUCAGAUGAUAUCAGUGUAGGUAAGCUAUUUGCUGAGAAGAAUGAGUUUAUAUUACAACUACGCAAGGUUACCUUUAGAGAUAAGUUUGAUUUCAAGAUUGCACGGUCUACAACGACACGUUUCGAGGCUCACUAUUGUUCGGAAUCAUGUAAAUGGCGUAUUCGAGCAACUAGAAGUUCGAACAAGCAAAAUGUUCCUUGGGUGGUGCGGAGAAUUGACAAUGUACACACUUGUCAUAAUGAGGUAUUGGUUGAUGGACGUCAUCAAGUAAGGAGCCAGGUUGUCGAUCAUAUUAUCGCAGAAAAAUAUAUUCAAGACAAGAGGAUUUAUACUCCGAAUGACAUAAGAGCAGAUAUGCAACAGGAAUACGGUGUUCAGUUAACAUACCAACAGACAUAUCGGGCGAGAGAAGUUGGUCUUGAAAUAGGUCGAGGCAACCCUGCAGAGUCAUACAACUUGCUCCCUAAAUACUCUCACGUACUAACUACAGCGAAUGAGGGUACAGUCACUCACCUCGAGCAGGAUGGAGAUGAUAAUUUAUUGUACUAUUUUGUAACACUCGGAUCUUCCAUCAAGGGUUUUAUGCAGUACAUUCGGCCUGCCAUUACUGUAAAUGGUACUCAUCUCAAGGGGCUAUAUCGUGGAAGCAUGUUCGUGGCAACAUGUCUUGAUGGUAACAAUCAAUUGUAUCCGUUAGUCAUUGGGGUCAUGGAUUCAGAAAACAAUGAUGCUUGGGAAUGGUUUAUGAUGAAGUUACACGGAGUGAUUGGCGAUAGACCUGAGUUGGUAAUUAUCUCUUAUUGAUGUACUGCCAUAAGGAGAGUCAUUCUUAAAGUAUUUCACAAUACAACUCAUGGCGUUUGUUUUUACCACGUGAAAGGUAACAUAAAGUCACGGUUUAGAAUGUCCAAAACUCUUUGGGAUGAAUUUGAGCCUGCCUUUAUUAAUGCAGCAAAAGCAUAUGGCCACGAGGAAUUUAAGAGACAACUUGAAGGGUUGUGGAUGAUCCACUCGGGUGCGGCUGAUUACUUAGAAAAUAAUGUCGGUACGUGUAAUUAGGCAAGGUCUCAGUUUGAAGAUAGGAGGUACAACGUACUUACCACCAACAUUGCGGAGAGUGUUAAUUCUUUCAUGAGGGAACCGGGAAAAUUUCUUGUUACUCAUCUUGUUGAUCACUUUAUGAAAACAUUGCAGCAAUGGUUUUAUGAUAGAAAAAUUGUGGCUGAAUCAAUGAGUACUCGGCUAACAACAUGGGCGGAUGAAAUAGUCACUGAGAGGAGAACUAUAACUGAAAGAAUGAUAGUUCAGCCGGUGUCUUCGCAUCGAUUUCAAGUUAUAGGUGGUGGCCUUAAGGAAGGUUUGGUUGACUUGCAAAAGAAAACUUGCUCCUGCAGAGUGUUUCAGCUUGAUCAGCUUGUAUGUGCUCAUGCAAUUGCGGCGUGUCUAACACACCAAGUGGAUUUUAUUAACCUUUGCUCGAAGUUUUACACUACAGAAUCGUUGGCGAUGUGGCUGAUUGGGAAGUUCCAGAUGAAAUUCAGGAGAUGUAAGUAUACCCACCCGUUGAGGCACCACCACAUGGCCGUCGUAAAGAGCUCAGAAUACCUUCGGCUGGCGAGGACGUUAACCGGCGGACUGUAAGAUGCGGGCAGUGUCAUGAAUGGGCCACAAUCGUAAGCGAUGUAAGAAUCACAUUGCGUCGACUCGAAGUUAGUUGUAUUGUUUCAAUGAUUCGUUGGUUAAAACUGUUAUUGUUUUUUGUGUAUUGUACACUUAUAUGUCAUGAAAUUUUAUUUUAUUUUUAAUAUUAAAAUGUGAGCAUUAAAAUUAUAUAAACUUAAGUGUGCAAAUUAGAAUAAAAAUUCAAGUUUCAACAUUCGAAUUACUACAACGGUUUACAAUACAAUAUCGUCAUAAAAUAUGUCAACUGUAAUUUUCUUUCUAAAGUACUCGACAUGACUAGCGUUAAACUCUAAUCUAAGCCCGAACAUUAAAUACAUUGUAAACACCAAUACAAAAACACCGCAAUCGCCAGUUCCGGGCUCUUGUUGUGGCGCGCUCUUAACUACGAUAACUUUCCAGGGGUCGGCACUCCGCAACUCAAGUCGAAUGUUGUAGAAGCAAACAUAUUCCAACCAUCGAGGGAAGAUAACUUCAAGUGGCUUGAAUUUCAACUUGUAUCUUUUGUCGUAGCGAAAUGUGAGUAAUGAGUCAUAAAUCCAAACUUUGUUUUUACGAAAGUCUACUCGUGCCGGUACCCAAUGCGCGCCGUCCAAGUUAACAGGGAUGAGUAGUUGUAUAUAAAAAUUGAAAAACAUGUUCGUUAUAUAUGAAAUUGAAAAACAACCAAGAAAAAGCGACAACUUGUAUAUUUUCAUUAUGGAGUAUGUGAAAUGCAAUAAAAUACAUACCAUAUCGACAUCCGUCAUUGAUUUGGACAUUGUGUGCUGUCGCCCACAAAGGUAGCAAUUCAAGCGGUCGUCCAAUACUAAUGAAUCGACCGCACAAUUCCCGUUGUUCCAUAACUGAUUCAAGAACACCUAGUACAUAGAUAACCAAGAAAUGCAUAAAUUAACAAAACUUAAAGGCGAUAAUUAAAAAAAUAGAAAUGGUAUUUAUAAAUUUUUUCGGCACGUUACCCAAAAAAAUGUGUCAGUAUGUGUGACACGUUGAACUAAGGCAUUCGGAUACUGCCGUUGUUUCUCGCUAAUCAAGCGAAAAUACUCGUGAAUAUGCUGUAGAGGAACAGAAACAUUACGAUUUAAAAGAAAAAAUUUAUACACAAAUCUACAACACUCAAAGAACUUCGAAAAUAUAAUUACCUCAUCGCCUAGCCAUCCCAUCGAAGCUAAACCCAAAAGUAAUUGAAAGAAUGACCACGGGUACUGGACUCUCCGAUCCACUGUCAUAUCACCAGCGAACCAUCGAUCAAACUUAGCAAACAUACUAGAAUCCUCCAAUCCUCUCAAUGGAUUUAUAUCCACACUCGUAUUCAUGUCAAUCACAUGGUCCAUGAUUUGGGGUCGAGGUAUAGGCCGAGCAUUCUUUCCUCGCCUGCGUAGAGGAAUCAUGUAAGGACUGUUAUAAACAUACGACGGUAUGUACGCACGGCCGAACUUACUAACGCCCAAAGGCACCUCAGUGAACACCUGUACGCUCUCCCCACUAACAUCCCCGUAGAAACUAUACAAUGACGUGGGCGUAGAAAAUUUUUGAUUGUCCACGUCAGUAUACACUCCAUAGUCAUCCGGGGCCUGUCCAUUCGCCAAGAUGAACAUAUUAAACAACUAUCAAAUUAAAAGUUAAAAGAACAUAAUUAUUAAAUUUAAAUUUGCUCACCGCAAACGAGCAUCCAGUAGGAGAAUCCUUAUUUGGACGUUUGGAAAAUAUGUCGAUAAAUCCAACCACAGUUUCUUUAAAAUCUUUUAAUUCUGACUUAAAUUCAUAAACGUUACGAUCAAUCUUAUCCAGUUGUCGUCGCAUGUAAUCGUUAAACUGCUUUGUCCUCGACUAUUACAAAAGAAGAUAAGUAAAAUGUUAGAAUAACAGUAAAACAAUAACGAUUUAUAAAGGAAGAAUAUCGUAUAUUAUUUAUAACCUUCGAAUUAUGUGCGUCAUCAGAGUUGUCUGUCUGCUCCUGGUGGUCAUCAACAGCCACCUCAUCCUCAGAAGUGUCAUGAUGCUGCUCUGGUGUUGGGUUUGGUAUGUCGUCAUGCUCGUCAUGCUCGUCUGAUUGCCUUGUAACGGGCGGCAUCGCAUUGAUUGAGAGUUGGUGCUGUAUAAAGUAUCAUUUAAAAUUAGAAAAUGAAAAUUCAAAAAUUUCGAUUAAAAAAUUUAUAGUACUUAGAGGAUACUGACCUUAUGAACCUAGUCUGGAAUGCUUGGCAUGUAAUCCUUCACAGUGAGCCAAUAUUUUUUGCUACUCUCCUUUGAAUUCGGCUCAAAGGUUUGUAAAACGUCCCCCUGCCAUAAAUUCAAUUCAAAAUUUUAAGUAUACAUAACAUAAAUUUACUAAAGUUAAAAAAUUAACUAAUACAUAUUACUUACAAGACGAGAUUCAUCGUUGAAGAACGAAUAAACCUCAGCAAAGUUGAUUCUUGAAGAUGCCAUGGGCUUCCAUUGCACGAUGUGGGGAAUCUUCUUCUUCGUUUUCACGACCCAUGUUGACGGCAAACCUCCGAUCGCUUCGUAAAUCCAAGCCUAAAACAACCAAAGUAAAAAAUCUAUUAAAACAUCUAUCAAAUAUGUAAUACUAUAAAACUUAUUCAUAAACAAAAAACCAAUGCACCUGAACCCCGGACGUAAAGCCGUAAACAUUGUACUUUUCAAUGUUAUGAUCUGGGUUUUUUAACCGAGUCAUCUUAAAUUUCUCGUCUUUCUCGAACAGUGCAUCGUCAAGACUCUCGUAUAUUAUUUCCCAUGACAAAAGACCCCAUGGACGGUUUCGGAAGUACUCUAUAUUAUCAACUUCGUUAAGCCAAUCGAAAUUGAUUUGACAGUGAUUUUUUCUUGCAUUUAGUACUAUGUCCGCAAAAUAAAAGAGCGCAAUUUUUAAUGCGUCCAUAUCGUCCAUUUCCUCGAAUUUCAACUUCUUAAAUAAUGCAUCAAAUUCCUUAAGUUUGAUCUUACGAUGCACACCACCAAAAUACGUAUUCCGUAGCCUAUGCACCGUUUUGUUAUUUCUUAGUUCGGUAUCAACACCAUAUGAAAGUCCAGUAACCAGGCACCAUUCUACAAUUGACAAGCAAGUUAAAUGCUCACCAAUUUGAAACCAUAACUGAUCCUCACGGCUAUCUUCUUCAUGGGCCACUUGCCUCAGUAAAAGAUUGUGCAAAAUUACCCCACUAAAUGGAAAGCUUCGACACUCCAAGAAAUACUCAAAUACAUCCUUCUUGAACAGAUUCAACUGCCGCUUUGUUAAUUUUUCCUCGAUGGCUUUUAUGACCGAAGAUAAAUUACACAUGCUUGAAAUUCGACCCGGAAAGUGAUCGGCAUAACGAAAAUACAUCCUGCCUACUUCGAUAUCCGAUGAUUCUGAUUUCACCAUGUAUCUGUAAUAUUUAUAACAUUAUUACAUUACAUUUACAACAAAAAUAAAAUAAAUUGACUUGACGGAAAAAAAAAAUAUUAAAUCCACUGUAAUUUGGUGCGACAGGCAAAUAUGCCAAAUUGGUGCGAUAGUACGGGCGCGCGCGCGCGCGCUGCUACCCAGCGAUCUACCAUCCAAAAUGAUGAUAAUUCCUCCUUGACUAAUGAUCUCCAACUACACUCCCAAAACAACAACAACCACCACCACCACCAUUAUUCUCAAACUACAACCACUAUUAUUCUAAAAUUUCAUUUUAAAUUAAUGAAAUAUAAAUAAAAUGGCUAACUUAGUUUUGUUGAAGACUGUAAAUGGUAGAUCGGACGCCGAUGAGGGAUCGAGCCGCCACCGACGAGGGUUGUAGCAAGCCGCCGACGAGGGUUGAUGUUUCUUCGGUUUGAGAGAGAUGAGUGAAAGAGAGAUUGUUGGGGGAGAGAUGAGAGAGGGGUAUUUUGGUCUCAAAAGUUUUUUUAUGGCUAAUGUUGAUAGAAAUUUGUUUGAGGGGUUAAGAUGGAAAAAGGAAAAAAUUUUAUGGUUAUAGGUCUAAAUUUCCCGAAAAUUAUUUGUCAUGUAUCCUUAAUGCAGAUAUUCAGUUUGAUGCUAUGGGCUUCUAUAGCGCAAUCAAGUCGGGCAAUAAUGCAUCUACUCAAGAGUACGCCAGACAAAUCAUUGCAAAUGUGCGUACCAUAGUGAAGCCAGUUGAUGGGUCACCUUCUAAUUUGACUGAAUUGUAAAUUACUGCAAAUGUAUAAUGACCUGAUGAUCGUUCCAUGUAUUAUUAUUAUUUUUAAUAUGAUGGCAAUUAUGAUUUAAAAUAAUCUACUGAAUAAUUUUAUCAUUGAUAAAAGUGCAUGGAAGUUUCGCCAAUUUUUAAGGUCAUACACAACAUGUUGAAUGAAUCAUGGAGAAACAAAUUCAAAAAUUAAUUUUAUAAUAAGUAAAAAUAUCUCUAUACCACUUUUAUUUUGUCACAUGUACGUUUAACUAUCACAAAAUUUUGACAUAUUCUUUACACUAUAUUUGCUGCUAAACUUAUAUCGAUCAACCACUUUAAUAUUAAAAAUUAUCAUUUUAUCCCCGAAUGAAUUAAAAACUAUUUUAUUCUAUUAAAUUUUUAAAAAUAAAAAAUAUAUAUAAUUAUAAAAAUAGCCUAAAUUCAAAAAAAAAUCUCAAAAUAUAAGAUGAUAAUUUUUAAAUGAAAUUAUAAUUAUAAAAAAUUAACUUCUUGUAAUUAUAAUUUUAUUUAAUUUUUAUAAUUAAAUUAGUAUAGAGAAGUUUACAAAAAUUAACAUAAAGAGAAAAACUCCUAUAAUUAUUAUAAGCUUUCACAUAAUUAAUAUCAAGAAACCUUUUUACAAAAAUUAAAUAAAAUUAUAAUGAUAAAAAUUAUCAUGAUAAUUUUCAAAUGAAAUUAUAAUUAUAAAAAAAUAAUAUAUUAAACUUGAGAUUUAUCAACUAAUCUACAAUUAAAGCAAUUUUAUCUAGUUGUUUACUUCACUGCAGAGCGACAGUUACGUUCCCCAGGCUUCCAAAAAUCCCAGGUGGUUUUCACUCCAAAACUCCGGGCUAAUUUGAAUUUUAGUAAGAGAAACCGCUAGCUCAGCAACCAGAAUUGUUCUGUCUCGAAGUGCCUAAAUCCCCAUUUCAUCCCCAUUUAGUUAGUGCUUUUGUAAGGACAUAAAAGUAAUUGUGCUCUACCAAAUAAUUGCCGCUAGCCAGACAGAGCCACUGGUUUUGUUUAUUUCAUCUUUUUCCAUCUGUGUGCUCAAUCAACUAAACCACUAACCAAGUCUAUAUAAAUAUGAAACCCCCGCGUAUCGUUUACUCCAUCAAAGCAAAAGCAGAUCUUUUAAAAGAGUUCACAAAGAGCAAAAGACAGAAGGGAAUCUGAAGAAUAUAUAGAAAAUUAAGAAUGAGUUCAACAAGCAGAGCAUGGAUGGUAGCAGCAAGUGUUGCAGCAGUUGAGGCCAUGAAAGAUCAAGGGUUCUGUAGAUGGAACUACACGCUCAGAUCAUUACACCAACAUGCCAAGAACAGUAUAAGAUCAUCAGUUUCUCAAUCAUCAAAGAAGCUUUCCUCUUCUUCUUCUUCAUCUUCUGCUGCAGUGGUUUCAAGCAAAUUGAUGAGAGACCCCAAGGCCAAGCAAUCAGAGGAGUCUUUGAGGACAGUCAUGUACUUGAGCUGCUGGGGUCCUAAUUGACUGGUCCCCAUUCCCCAACUUGGUUUGGUGCGAAGAGAUCAUUUUGAUUUGUAUAUUGUAAAUAUUGCUCUAUAUAUCACAUACUAAUUCGAAAAAUCUUUUGAACAAAUUUUGUCCUUUUUGCUGUGGUUGAUGCUUGUUUAAGAUUUCAUCAAUCUCUGCCUCCAUAUAAUCUUACACUGGAGUACUAAAGCAAACAACAAGAUUAAGCUAAAGACUUCAGUUUUAAUUUUUUUACUUUAUACUUUUUUAUCAUUUUUAUUUAUUAAUAUUUUUAGUGGGUUUUUUUAAAUUUUUCUUGGGAGAAGGUCUAAACGAUUUCUUACGUACAAUCUAUUGAACAAAAACAAUCUGUUGGCCUUUGAUUGACAUUUCUAAACCAGUUAGAACCUUACUAUGUUCGCCUGUUAGUUGUAUAAAGAGUGGAAAUUCACUGAGAAAAUACGAAACACCAUCAACAUAUAUUAAAUAAAUAUAAACUAUAUUUGCAGCAGAGCAGACCAGCGCAAUUUGAUCUUAUAAUUACUACUAUAAUAAUAACGUAUGAGCAUGGUAGGAAUUUUGAAGACAAAUAAUUGUAGGACUUGCGGAGAAAGGAAAUUGAUAGCAAAUGCAUCCAAUUUCAACUUCCAUUAAAGUCUGCCAAUAACAAUGAUGGUUUUUAGUAACUCACAAUGGUCUUCACUCAAAUGAGAUGAGAUGUGCUUUAAAAAUUAAGACAAGCUACUUGCGAAUCCCCACGCUUUUGAUGAAAACUAAAAAUACCACUGUUUAGAUAAGUACCUUAAAUCACUCCCCGAGUACUUUUUUUUUAAUUUUAUAAAAAAAAGCAAAUAUUGAUUUAGUUCAUAUAUUUUGAUUUAAGUGUUUGUUUAAUUCUUAUAUGUUAAAAAAAAUCUCAAAAUAUCUUACGGUUAAAUACCUUGUAUUUUUAUCCUUAUUUUUCUUAGCUUUUGCAAUAAUAUUCUUUAUAUUUAUUUAUUUAUUUUUACAAAAUUAAUUUUAACAAAUUAACCAAUAAUUAAUAGUACGAAAGAAUUAGUAUUUUUUGUAUCUAUACAACAAUCUUGUUAAUAAUUAAUUAUAAACAAAUCAACAUCAGCCAACUUAAAGUAAUAUUUAAUAUUCUUAUAACAAUGUUACUAAUAAUCAUUUUAUAAAUUUUUUUUACAAAAUUAAUCCUAAAAAUAAGAUAGCGUUGGAGAAUUAUAAGAAUAUGGAGGCAAAGAACAAAGAAAAUUGCUUAUGAUUUAAGACGUGUUUGCACACUUUCCUUUAAGGUUUUAUUUGCCCUCACCAAUCUUGGUUUGCUAUAGAGUUUUAAUUGCAAAUUACCCUCAAGAUAUAUCAAAUCCUGAAUACAAUCUCUAGCAAAUAAGGGCCUGAUUGGUAUUGUUUUUUAAUCUGUAUUUUCUGAGAAUAAAAACGAAAAUGAAAAUAGUGUUUUGCAGUUACUGUAUUUCGAAUUUAAAUAUGCGUCUGGUAUCAUUUUCUGUAUCCUAUAUUUUAAAACUGAAAACAGUAAUAUGCGUUUGGUAGACACAGUUGAAAAUUAUAAAAACAGAGAAUAUGCGUUUGGUAGUGCUUUUUUCAAAAAUAGUUUUUACUAAUCAUUUACAUUAUAUUUAUAGUUAUAAAAUAAUUAUUUAGCUAAUACACACAAAUACAACAAAAUAAUUUAACCAAAUUUAAUAUUAAAAAAUUACAUGAUAAUAAAGUUUAAGAAUUAACAUUAAUUAAAAAAAGUUUGACAUUGUCAUUGUUUUUACACUAUAUAAUUAAGAUAUACAUUACAACACAUGAUUUAAAAAAAAUAAUUAUAAAAAAAUAUAUGAUACACAUUAUACAUUACGUAUGUAAUCAUGCCAUAUAAAAGCUGCAAUUCCAUCUCUUGUAGCAUUCAUCUCUACGACACUUGCUGGAGAUAAAUCAAUAUUAGUAAGUGGCCUACUAGUGUCUCCUUCAUUGUUGGUAACCAAAUCUUACACAUCAAAGUCCCCAAAUAACCUAUCACUUGCAUUUUCUCGUCGAAUAAAAUUACGCAAAGCGCAACAUGCAAUUGGAAUUAGACGUUGCUUACGUAAACUAUAAUUAUUAUCGUUUUUUGGUUUUGCAGGAUCUAGGUUGACGAGAGGACAAGGAACAUUUUUUUGUAACUUUUUUUGUAAGGAAUCAAAUAGAAUAAUAAACAUCAUUGUUGUAUCAUAACUUUAUCCUGAAGAAUUAAUAAAAUAUUUACAUUAAAAAAAAAAGAAAGAAAGAAAAAAGAAAAAAAAAACUGGGCAGGCAGUAAUUUACAAACAUUACCAGAAGCAAAGGGAAUUAAUGGAAUUGUGGAUGGGACAACUAGUCGGCGAACGCGAUGAGGAAGUAAUAUGCGUGUAAUUAAUUAAACGCGGAUUUGUAAAAUUUUCUAAAUUUGUAAUGACAGUGAGGUGAUGAAAACACAGCGGCAGUAGCUGCAGCAGCAGCGAAUGAAGCAUUGUUUUCGUACGCGGCAGAAAACGCAAAACCAAAAAACGAUAAUAAUCAAAGCGGUGGAGGAUCUAGCAGUAGCAGCAGCAGGAUCUAGCAGCAACAGCAGGAUCUACCAGCAGCAGCAACGAACUGGAAGAGCAGCAGCAGCAGCAACGAACUGGAAGUAGCUGGAGCAAAUACCAAGUGAAGACAGCAACUGCAACAGCCGAGAUCGAGCAGCAGCAGCAACGGACUGGCAGAUCGAGUUAGAGGGAGAGAUAUGUGUUGUAGAUCUAGAGAAAGAGGAAGAAGAGAGUGAUAGUGAGUGCGGAGAGUUUAGAUCGAGGACUUUGGGAGCUGUUGAUGAAGAGAACACGAGCCGAGAUUUGUUCUGUAGUUUGUUCUUGAGUGUGAACUGUAAUUCAUUUGAAAACGCAUUAAACACGUUUUCAACUUUACAACUGGAAAGCUGAAUCCGGAUUUUUUGUUUUAUAAUUUGUUUCUGAGUUUAGCCCACCAAACAUGUUUUUCAAUUGUAUUUAUAAAACAAAAACGAAAAUAGAGGCUUGGAAACGGUACCAAACAGGCUCUAAGAUUGUAUUUCCAAAACAUAUAUGAAACCUGCAAAAUCUGAUGAUUAAUCUAAUUGUGUGUCUUUCUUUAAUGAAGAAAAUGUUUAUUUGAAAGAAUACAACCAUUAGAAAUGGUACUUCUUCGAAGACACUCUUUUGAUUUGAAUUUGCAUCGAUUGACAAUUGAAAUUUUCAAUCUUGCUAACCGUUUUUCCAAUUGACGCCUUUAUGGAAAUAAACGGUUAGCCGUUUUCUCAAUAAACGGUGAGCCGUUUUCUCUAGAACAUAAAACAUGCUCUCUGGAGUUAAACGGUUAGCCGUUUUCUCAAUAAACGGUGAGCCGUUUUCUCUAGAAUAUAAAACAUGCUCUCUGGACUUAAACGGUGAGUCAUUUUCUCCAGAAACGGCAAACCGUUUUCGUCCAGAAUAUCAAACCAAAAAACUUGAAAAAUGUUACAAUCUCUCUUACAGAUAGUAAUAUAAAAAUUUGGCUAAUUUGAUAAAUUAUCAUUUUUUUUCUUUGCAUUAACAUCUCCAAUAAUAUUUUUACAAGGGUAUUAUUAUAAAAGGAAAGAAAAAGUAAGGGUAAAACUGUAAAAAUUUAACAUAUUUAACACCGGGUUUCUUGAGAUACAUUUUUAAACAUAAGAACUAAACGAACACUUUAAUUAAAAUAUAACAACUAAACAAGCAUUGAUCUUUAUAAAAAUUAAGAAAGAAAUGUUAUAAGAUUUUUUUUUUAUUGUUUACGAUCAACAAAAAUUUACGAUAACAUAUAUAUUGGGAGCCUAAAUUUGUACAAUUUAUCAUUUAAUACUUUAAUCCAAAGAUCUAUCAAAUACAGUUAAAAAAAUUUUGCCUACCAAUAGACCAGAUCUACCCUAAUAUAUGAAAAUAUAUUUAUCUUUAUCUAUAAUUAAUUAUUUUUAGUAUAGAAAAUUUGCUUAAGUUCUGAAAAUGCUCUCACCUUGAUGGGAGCAUUGAAUACCAGUCGCCCAAAGGCUUGAGUGGCAUUGGAUUAUGUAAUUUUGAUAAUGGCGAAUCCCACAAAUAUCCCAAAAUAUUAGGCACGAGAACUAUAACGAUUAAGAAAUAACUUAAGUCAUGUUCGGUUGAUAGAAAUUAAGGCAAGAGAGAGAGGUUUUUUGUUUCCUCUUUAUUUUCUUUUGUUUAGUUGAUAAAAGUUAACUAGAAAUCAAAUUCUGCCUCAACCCCAAUUUCUAUUAUUCGAGGAAUUUUGUUUCAUUGUUGAUGAGUAAGAAAAUUUAAGGUGCAUUUAUUAAUAUUUUUGAGCCAGUGUUUUUGGAUCUUAUUUUAAAAAAAAAAAAAAGAAUGAUAUUUUUUAUGUGAUUUUAAAAAAAUGAAAUUUUAUUUGAUAAUUUAGUUUGAAAAUAGCAUAUGAAAAUGAUAAAAUUGUGUUUGGUUAUUUGUUUGAAAAUAUAGAUUUUUUAUGAAUAAUUUUCUUCAAUUUACUACAACAUAUUUUUUAUUAUUAUACUUUUAAUCAAAAUGAGAUCAAAUUUCAUAUAACAAUAAUAAGUUUCAUAAAAUCCUCUCAUAAUUUAUUAAGUUUAAGAAAUUAAAAUAAAAUAAAACUAAAAUAAUAAAUGUAGAAUUAGUUAACAUAUAAAAAAUAAAAAGUCGUACUACAAUUAUAUUUAUUCAUUCUUAUUAUGUAAAAAUUAAAUAAAAAAAGAGGGAUCUUCAUCCUAUAUUUGAGAUAAUAGAAAAUCAUUCAAAAUUUUAAUGAACAAUAAAUAAAAUUAAAAAUUAAAAAAAAAAAUUACCUAGAUCUUGUUACAAAGAGAUAAGAAGAGUUGUUUCAAUUAAGAAGAAAAAGAUAAGAUAUAGAAGAACUAAAAAAUUGAAGGGAUAAUGUGAAAGUAAUUAAAUAAAGAAUUAAUAAAGUAAUAAUUGAAACAAUAAUGGUGGUGAGCCAGCACCACUUUUUGUCUUAUUUUUUUUUUAAUCGUUCUUGAAAGAUUCAAGAACGCCAAUUUGGCUUUCUUGAGUUUUCUUUACAAAAAUUUAAAAACAGAAAUAUCUUGUUCUCUAACUUUUGUACUAAUUAUUAGAAAAUAGUUUAACCAAACAUGUUUUGUAUUUUUCACUUUUUGAAAAUAAAAAACACCCAACAAAAAAGUUACCAAAAGCAUGUUAGAUUCCACAAAGUUAAAAGGUCAUAUUUUCUUAUUUUACCCUAAUUUAAUUUUGAUUUUCUAAUUUUAUCCCAAAAUGAGAAAAAAAAAAAGACAUAAGGUCAUGUUCGGUUGCUAGAAAUUAAGGCAGGAGAAGAGAGGCUGUCUAUUUCCUCUUUAUUUUCCUUUGUUCGGUGGGUAAAAAUUACUGAAAAUCAAAUUUGUUUCCGAUCCCAAUUUAUAUUAUUUGAGGAUUUUAGUUUCUUUAUUGAAGAGUAAGGAAAUUUGGAAUCCACGUAAUUAAAAAGUCAUAUUUCCUUAUUUUACCUCAAUUAAUUUUGAUUUUUUAAUUUUAUCCGUAAAUGUAAAAAAAGACCUAAAUACCGAGGACCUUUCCCGACGACCCACAUUUCAACAAAGAAACGUGCUGUUUUAAUUUUCCACACGCUUCACUUUUACAAAUAUGUAAAAUUUAACCGUACGCCUCAAUUUCAAUGGAUUUCUUAAUAAAAUAAAGCAAAACCAGGUGCGCGCACUGGCUGAAUUUAUCUUUUCGUGAUGCACCCGAUACCCAUUUUGUCCCCCUUCUAAUUGAUCGUACCAAGUGGUCCUGCAAGGGUGUUACUGUCAUUAUUCAGUUCCAACUACCAGCCAAAAUAGAAACCACUGGCUUUGGCUGCUUUGCUCCAAAACCAGCAGGAAAUUGAAAGAGCUAAAGCCUGCGGCCACUUGUUUUACAUAUUUCCAUGACUUUAGGCCUUUACUCCAUCCCCUCACCCCUGGCCCUCUUUGUAUAAAUAAGAAUCCCGCCGUGCCAUUUUCUCCAUCAAAACAUCAAAUUUUCUAAAGCAAAGCAAAGUGAAAGAGUAUCCGAGAGACAUUCACAUAGAUUCAAGAUGAGUUCAACAAGCAGAGCAUGGAUGGUAGCAGCAAGUGUUGCAGCAGUUGAGGCCAUGAAAGAUCAAGGGUUCUGUAGAUGGACCUACACCCUAAGAUCAUUACACCAACAUGCCAAGAACAAUAUAAGAUCAUCAGUUUCUCAAUCAUCAAAGAAGCUUUCUUCUUCUUCUUCUUCAUCUUCUGCUGCGGUGGUUUCAAGCAAAUUGAUGAGAGACCCCAAGGCCAAGCAAUCAGAGGAGUCUUUAAGGACAGUCAUGUACUUGAGCUGCUGGUGUCCUAAUUGACUGGUCCCCAACUUGGAUAGUGCCAAGUGAUCAUUUUGAUUUGUAUAUUGUAAUAGAGGAAGAGCAAU